CUGAAAAACAUGCAAAUCACCAGGCAGGCAUUACAGCAGGGAAUACUUGGGCCCAGAGAGAAACUCUCCCAACAUUUAAGCUGAAUCACACAGAUAUGUAAUGUCAAACUUCGAGCUUGAUGCAUUUCCUCGGGAAAACUUCUAUUCGUCUGUCCUCUCUCAGGACACAUAUGAUGUUGACUACUGAAACACUAGGGUUACAACUUUGAUGUGGGUUUCAACAGGAGUGGUAUCUGUGUUUCCUGAAGGCAAAAACAACUGUGUGAGGAAACGGUCAUUCACUUUGCAUCCUUUCUGCCAACCUGGCUGACAAGGUUUGAAGCCCACCAGGGAAGGCGUUUCAUCCACCCUCAACCAGUGAUGGUGAGAAGAAAUGUUACUGAUGCACUGCAGCACAUGGAGCUCUUGCUAUGACAACCUCUUGGGACUAGAGGGGAAGUUGCUAGAAGCUCUCCAACUGCUGAACAACACAGGCAUUGCUGCUUGAAGCCCUGACUGCUCCUGCAGCUUCUCACUGACAUAAACACUGGCUUUCAGAAAGACAGAGGACAGAUAUCUUCUAUUUUACAGCUUCAGAGAAGGAGAACAAGCGAAUACAAAUAUGCACAUCACUAGGGAACAGAAACAAAUCUUUAUUUUCUGCAAUUGUAUCAAAAGAAUGUAUAGAACUGAUUUCUCUCAAUAAAGACUGUCAUCAACAUGA